GAUGAACGCUGGCGGCGUGCCUAAUACAUGCAAGUCGAGCGAACGGACGAGAAGCUUGCUCCUCUGAUGUUAUCGGCGGACGGGUGAGUAACACGUGGACAACCUACCUAUAAGACUGGGAUAAUUUCGGGAAACCGUAUCUAAUACCCGAUAAUUUUUCGAACUGCAUUGUUCAAAAGUAAAAGACGGUCUUGCUUACACUAAUAGAUGGAUCCGGGUUGAAUUAGUUAGUUGGUAAGGUAACGGCUUAACAACGCAACGAUGCAUAGCCGACCUGAGCGGGUGAGCGCACAGACUGUAAGUGAGAAAGGGUACAGACACCUAGGGGAGGCAGCAGUAGGGACUCUUACGGAAUGGGGGAAUGCGGGACAGAGCAAAGGCGCGGGAGUGAUGAAGGUCUACGGAUCGGAGAACGAUGAUAGUAGGGAAGAACAAAUGUGUAAGUAACUGUGCAGAUAUUGACAGUACCUAAUGAGAAAGCCACGGCUAACUCCGUG
rnacentral:rRNA from 1 species